GUAGUCAUAUGCUUGUCUCAAAGAUUAAGCCAUGCAUGUCUAAGUAUAAGCAAUUAUACGGCGAAACUGCGAAUGGCUCAUUAUAUAAGUUAUCGUUUAUUUGAUAGUACUUUCCUACUUGGAUAACCGUGGUAAUUCUAGAGCUAAUACAUGCUAAAAAUCCCGACUUCGGAAGGGAUGUAUUUAUUAGAUUAAAAACCAAUGCCCUUCGGGGCUCACUGGUGAUUCAUGAUAACUUCACGGAUCGCACGGCCUUGCGCCGGCGAUGGUUCAUUCAAAUUUCUUCCCUAUCAACUUUCGAUGUUCGGGUCUUGGCCAAACAUGGUUGCAACGGGUAACGGAGGGUUAGGGCUCGACCCCGGAGAAGGAGCCUGAGAAACGGCUACUACAUCCAAGGAAGGCAGCAGGCGCGCAAAUUACCCAAUCCAGAUACGGGGAGGUAGUGACAAUAAAUACUGAUACAGGGCUCUUUUGGGUCCUGUAAUUGGAAUGAGUACAAUUUAAAUCCCUUAACGAGGAACAAUUGGAGGGCAAGUCUGGUGCCAGCAGCC
rnacentral:rRNA from 1 species